GGCAUUCACCCAUGUUCAUUCUAGACAUAUUUCCACAUCGUUAGGGUUGUUACGCUUUCCUAGAGUUGCAUGUCCUAUAAUGGAACCUACCCAAGAUCCAAACUGUCACAGUCAGAUCCUUCCUCCCAUUUUAUAUCACACUGCUCACAGGAGAGACUUAUCCCCUGCCCACCUGCCCCAUUGACUCUUUCCACACCACUGCAUGCACCAGGCGAUUUGCAUAUUGUCCCAUAGGGAGGUCUUUUCUUAGCAAGUCUGAGAUAAAAGCUCAACUCCAACCUUGCCUUGACUGAUCAGGACUCCUCAGUUCACCUUGUCACAAUGUGGCACCCUGCUCAGCUCCUGGGGCUGCUAAUGCUCUGGGUCUCUGCCUCCAGUGGAGAUAUCGUGAUGACCCAGACUCCACUCUCUCUGCCCGUCACCCAUGGAGAGCCGGCCUCCAUCUCCUGCAGGUCUAGUCAGAGCCUCCUGAGUAGCAAUGGAUACAACUAUUUGAGUUGGUACCUGCAGAAGCCAGGCCAGUCUCCACAGCUCCUGAUCUAUUAUGGUUCUAAUCGGGCCUCCGGGGUCCCCGACAGGUUCAGUGGCAGUGGGUCAGGUACAGAUUUUACACUGAAAAUCAGCAGGGUGGAGGCUGAGGACGUAGGGGUUUAUUACUGCAUGCAAGCUUUACAAACUCCUCCCACAGUGUUUCAUCCCUGAACAGAAACCUCCCUCCUGGGGUUGCCCAGUUGCUCACAUGUGCUGCUUGUCUGGAGAGCAACUCG